UAUUAUGUCUUUGUGUAUACCUGCUAAUAAAUGAUCCUUCGGUUUGAAGAACUCAAUUACGAAUGUAGGACAACCUUCGACAGGAGCUAAUGUUAAAAUUGUUUUGUUUACCUCACUUUUCUUUUUGAGCGUAGUAUGGAUUUUUAAUGAAUGAAGUUAGGAUUGGUAUGACUGAUAAUAAUAGUGAUCGUAAAUUUUAUGAAAGUCUUGUCAAGCUAUCAAUUGAUAUGGCGAGGCCGUUUAGUAACAGUGACCGUAAACUGUCUUAAAGUCUUGUGAAGCUACCAUUGGUAUGGCGUGAUCGUAAAUUGUCUUACCGAACAGGACUAUCGAGGUUGUCACCUGCGGGGAAGCACGCAAGAAUUUGUUGAGGGCUUUUUAUUUGUUCUGAACCAUGAAUCAAUAAGCUGUUUGUUUAUCUCAUCUGAAACUGUAUUUUUGAAAUGAUAGGACUCAUUGGUAUUUUAGGGAAAUAUACCGAUAAGAGCAUAGAUCGAAUUAUAAAUAUGCCUGCGUCUGCACUUUAAGAAAGAAUAGCAGAGAUAGACUAUAAAUAAGCCUGCUGCGACAGUUACGGUGGUAGUCUCAAUACGCCUUCUUCGACAGUCACGGUCUUAGUUUCAAAUACAAGCUGAAAUAGGAACCAUCAGCGAUUGAACAAAAUAUGGGUCUUGAUGAGUCUACUAGAAUAAAAUUCGCUUUAUUUAUAGCGAUAUUGAUUUGUGUGAUUAUAUACUCGGAUGGCAGAUAUAAAAAACGACAUAGAAAAGGCCGUUUUAUGAGGAAGCCUACGGACAAAAGAUGCUUGCGAUUCUGCAAAACCAGAAGUAGGCAUCCUAUUAUCUAUAUAAAACCUCGCAGAUGUGAGGAAGUGAGAGGAAGAAGAAGAAGAAAAUUUUGCGAAGCGUGCAGAAAUACCAUAUGCAACAGAACAAAUUCUUUUUUGUCAUAAACGGUUUUACACCAUGAUACAUCUUUGUUCGGUCGUUUCUACGUUCAGUGUUUCGUUUGAAGCAACAUAUCACAUUGUUGAUGUUCAAUAUUUGUGAUCUCGUUACUACACAAUCAUUGCCGUAGUACUUAUAGUACUAAACUGAAUUAUAAGUCACAUAUCGUCACGCUAAUAACCGAAUUGCGUAAGCCAUUUUUGGCGAUUUUGAGUUUUUUAUAAAAUAGGUAUUUAUGUAAUGCUGCGCACCUGUCUGUUAACUCAGAUUUCAUUUUAAGAAUUCCGAAACCCAUAAAAAUAGAGAUUUAGUAUAACAUGCACUUUUAUGCAAUUGUUGCGUCAUAAUGAAUUAUCAUUGUUACCGCAGGACUAUUGUGACGUCACAAAGGCGAAAUAACCUCUGCGAAGUAUUUUCGAGUUUUUGCAUCUCGGAUUCUAGCGUAGCGCGUAUUAAUUUGAA